GACGUAGGGCGCGAGCGUUGUCCGGAAUUACUGGGCGUAAAGAGCUCGUAGGUGGUUUGUCGCGUUGUUUCGUGAAAACUCACAGCUUAACUGUGGGCGUGCGGGCGAUACGGGCAGACUGGAGUACUGCAGGGGAGACUGGAAUUCCUGGUGUAGCGGUGGAAGUGCGCAGGAUAUCAGGAGGAACACCGGUGGGCGAAGGC
rnacentral:rRNA from 1 species